AGAGUUUGAUCCUGGCUCAGGACGAACGCUGGCGGCGUGCUUAACACAUGCAAGUCGAACGGAAAGGCCCCUUCGGGGGUGCUCGAGUGGCGAACGGGUGAGUAACACGUGGGUGAUCUGCCCUGCACUUCGGGAUAAGCUUGGGAAACUGGGUCUAAUACCGGAUAGGACCACGGCCUGCAUGGGUUGUGGUGGAAAGCUUUUGCGGUGUGGGAUGGGCCCGCGGCCUAUCAGCUUGUUGGUGGGGUGAUGGCCUACCAAGGCGACGACGGGUAGCCGGCCUGAGAGGGUGUCCGGCCGCACUGGGACUGAGAUACGGCCCAGACUCCUACGGGAGGCAGCAGUGGGGAAUAUUGCACAAUGGGCGCAAGCCUGAUGCAGCGACGCCGCGUGGGGGAUGACGGCCUUCGGGUUGUAAACCUCUUUCACCAUCGACG
rnacentral:rRNA from 1 species